GCCUAGCCCUAAAUCUUGGCACUUACACUACUAAAGUGCCCGCCCGAGAACUACGAGCACAAACGCUUAAAACUCUAAGGACUUGGCGGUGUCCCAAACCCACCUAGAGGAGCCUGUUCUAUAAUCGAUAACCCACGAUACACCCAACCGUCCCUUGCCAGAGCAGCCUACAUACCGCCGUCGUCAGCUCACCUCCCUUGAAAGAGCAACAGUGAGCAUAAUAGUUUCCCCCACUAGUAAGACAGGUCAAGGUAUAGCUUAUGGGRCGGAAGAAAUGGGCUACAUUUUCUAAACUAGAAGACUUCACGGAAAGGGGUGUGCAAGCCCCCCUAGAAGGCGGAUUUAGUAGUAAAGCGGGACCAUAGAGCCCCCUUUAAACCGGCCCUGGGAUACGU
rnacentral:rRNA from 1 species